rnacentral:rRNA from 1 species
UACGUAGGGUGCGAGCGUUAAUCGGAAUUACUGGGCGUAAAGAGUGCGUAGGCGGUUUCUCAAGUCCGCUGUGAAAUCCCCGGGCUCAACCUGGGAAUGGCAGUGGAAACUAGGAGACUUGAAUCUGGCAGAGGGGGGUGGAAUUCCACGUGUAGCAGUGAAAUGCGUAGAGAUGUGGAGGAACACCGAUGGCGAAGGCAGCCCCCUGGGCUGAGAUUGACGCUCAGGCACGAAAGCGUGGGGAGCGAACAGG